AACAAAGUGGAUUUGUUUCAGUCCGUCCUGAAAACAUACUCUGUUCUCCAUCUUCAGCUAGAGGACAAUGUUCAUAAUAACAUAUCAUCUUAUUGAUGUGAUAUUCUCUGUGAUAGCCAUGACACAACAUCUAUUUUUUGUUCUUAUCACCUUUGUCUUAAUGUUCUUUUGCACAUCUGAUAAACUUAGAAAAUCCAUUGUUAAAUUGAUCAUCACUUAAUGUAGUAUGUUUAAUUAGAAAGAUGUUUGUAUUCCCUCAACUUUCUAGUCAUUUUUACUUGUGAAUUCAAAUAGCAUCAAAAGUACCUGUAAUGUACUUGCUGUAGAAAUAUUCAAGGUAAAAUGUACAUGCAUGUAAAAUGAUGUUUACUAUCUUAAAACCUUGACAUUUGACAGAAUAGUGCACAGAGCAAAAAAUUCAAUUACCUCAAAUUGAAUUUUACUUUUUCAGUUCUUUACAAAUCUUCAAGUCAUUUCAUUGAAUUGAAAGAAAAAAGUGCUUAAUUUAUCAUGUUUUGUCUUUUGUGACUGUGUAACAUGUUUAUUUGAGGUGUUUUGAGUGUACCAAGUGCUGUGUCAAAUACUUAUUGUAGUACAUAUCAAUUAGCAUUCAACAGUAUUAUAGUUUAAUAGUCUACUUGCCUUACCAUAGGUAAACAUGUGUGUGCCGUUUACCUAAUUAUCAUGGGGAUGGGUUGUUUAGUAUUUAAAAAUCUUAUGUAUAGUAUGCGAUAUUGUAUAUGUAUUUUAGACAUCUGUUUUUAAACCCUUCGUGAUUCAUACAGGAAAAAUCAUCUGUCAACUAGAAGUUUUGUUAAAUUAGUUAUUGCAGGUCCUUAACAUAUUUUUGUCCGAGAGGUAUGAACAUGUACCAACAUAUUUUAACUGCAAAAAAUGUUCUCGGUGACAGAGACUAAAUAUUUUAUAUCAAUUUUGUUUUCAGAUUGAUUUGUGCAAUGUGGAACUGUGAUUCUAAACACAGAACAGAGGAUUAAAUGUUUCUUCUGGCUGUGUGACACUAUGCAUACAGUAAUGUGCACUUUCACAGAGUUCAAUAUAUUAAUGUACUUUUGUCGUCAAAUAGGCCAGCUGUGAUUUGCUUGCUGUGUUAGUUACCUUGGUAACUGUGAUAGGCGAGUCACAAGAAACAACAUACUGAUAUUUUAUUUAUUUAUUUGCAUAGAGUUGGUGAACCGUCCAUAAUUGUGUAAUAUACUACACACAGUAUUGUAAUUUAAGGAGUUUGAAUAAACAAGAUACAUAUAUGUAAUUUAUUUAUACAAUAAAAUUAUUUUUUUCUGAUUUU
rnacentral:sRNA from 1 species